CUUUCCCCCUUGUCACCCUUGUUUCUCCCCUCUCUUCGAAGAGGUAGAGAGGCAGGAACAGCCAAAAUAAAGAGCAGAAUAGAUCAUAUGCAUCACUGAAAAGAGUGAGAUUACAGGCCGGUCCCACACUAAACCCGCCUUGCUGUCUUCUUUACCGUCUUGGAAGGCGAAUGUCAUUUAAUCUCUGAGUGUAGACCUGUGUCAUCUGCAUGAGCAUGAUCUAUAAAAUCAUAUCAGAUCCAU
rnacentral:lncRNA from 1 species